CGUCUAUAUACGUAUAGCAUAUCAAUAAGCGGAGGAAAAGAAACUAACUAGGAUUCCCUCAGUAACGGCGAGUGAAGCGGGAAGAGCUCAAAUUUGAAAUCUUCAAGGUUCUACCUUGACGAAUUGUAGUUUAAAGAAGUGUUUUCUGUUGGAGUUUUGGUAAAAGUUCUUUGGAAUAGGACAUCAUAGAGGGUGAGAAUCCCGUAUUUGACCAUUAUUCCCAACUUUGUGAUACACUUUCAAAGAGUCGGAUUGUUUGGGAAUGCAGUCCAAAAUGGGUGGUAAAUUUCAUCUAAAGCUAAAUACUGGCGAGAGACCGAUAGCGAACAAGUACCGUGAGGGAAAGAUGAAAAGAGCUUUGAAAAGAGAGUUAAACAGUACGUGAAAUUGUCAAAAGGGAAGCGUUUGACACCAGUGUUGUUUUCUCGAAAAUCAAUUAAAAAUGGUGGGAUUUUGUGUUGUAUUGACUUUAUCAGCUUUCUGCACUUUUUUCCUAUCUUUUUUAAUGCACUUUUCGUUUAACAAGUCAACAUCAAUUUCUUUUGUUGUAAAAGGGUCAUUGGAAGGUGGCUUUCUUUUCGGAGAAAGGUGUUUAUAGCCUUGUGCCUCUGCAGUCGGAGAGAUUGAGGUCUGCAGCGUAGAUCCUUCGGGGUUAGAUACAUUUGUGCUAAGUUAUAGCUUUUCAUAGACAACUUGUUGACUAUGUUUAGUCUUGUAGCUUACUCGCUUACUGCUAUUUUACCUACGCUUAGGAUGUUGACGCGCGUGUGUGCGUG
rnacentral:rRNA from 1 species